UACGGGGGGAGCAAGCGUUGUUCGGAUUUACUGGGCGUAAAGGGCGCGUAGGCGGCCAGCGCAAGUCAGUUGUGAAAUCUCCGAGCUUAACUCGGAAAGGUCAACUGAUACUGCGCGGCUAGAGUGCAGAAGGGGCAACUGGAAUUCUCGGUGUAGCGGUGAAAUGCGUAGAUAUCGAGAGGAACACCUGCGGCGAAGGCGGGUUGCUGGGCUGACACUGACGCUGAUGCGCGAAAGCCAGGGGAGCAAACGGG
rnacentral:rRNA from 1 species